UGGACGAAGAGGAUAAACUCGUUUUCACUGCUGGGAAUGAUUAUUACGUACCUUAUCCGAUAACCUGUGACGAUCACCCUUGCUUAACAUCAGCAGCUACAUGUGUUCCGACAUCGCCCUCUAGUGGAAGUUUUCGUGCCUUUAAAUGCGAAUGCGUAUGUGGUGAUUGCAGUAACGAAUGUCCAUUCUUGUACUUCAGUGAAAUCAAAAACAAGAGAGUAAGCUCAAACAAUAUAGACUCUUUAUCCAACAUCAACAGUACUUCAGUUUGUGUACAUAAAUGUCUAGAACAUCCAAAAUGUCGCUCCGUCGACUACAACAACAGUAAUAACAAGUGCAACAGGAAUGUUAAGGACCAUCUGCAAGUUACUCUCGAGAGUUUUAACGAUAUAACCUACGGUUAUGGCGUCUGCAACUGUCCCUGAACUUCGAAGUUCAAGAGUUGUAAGAACUUUCAUGUUGAUUAUUCACCCACUGUGCAAACUGAGAUUUGUUUAGAGGAAUGAAACUGCACACUUAUCCUUAGAACACAUAACUUUCAUGUUGAUUAUUCCCCCACUGUACAAACUGAGAUUUGUUUAGAGAAAUGAAACUGCACACUUAUCCUUAGAACACAUAACUUUCAUGUUGAUUAUUCACCCACUGUACAAACUGAGAUUUGUUUGGAGGAAUGAAACUGCACACUUAUCCUUAGAACACAUAACUUUCAUGUUGAUUAUUCCUCCCACUGUACAAACUGAGAUUUGUUUAGAGGAAUGAAACUGCACACUUAUCCUUAGAACACAUAACUUUCAUGUUGAUUAUUCACCCACUGUGCAAACUGAGAUUUGUUUGGAGGAAUGA